ACUCCUACGGGAGGCAGCAGUGGGGAAUAUUGCACAAUGGGCGAAAGCCUGAUGCAGCAACGCCGCGUGAGUGAUGAAGGCCUUCGGGUUGUAAAGCUCUGUCUUUUGGGACGAUAAUGACGGUACCAAAGGAGGAAGCCACGGCUAACUACGUGCCAGCAGCCGCGGUAAUACGUAGGUGGCGAGCGUUGUCCGGAUUUACUGGGCGUAAAGGAUGCGUAGGCGGAUAUUUAAGUGAGAUGUGAAAUACCCGAGCUUAACUUGGGUGCUGCAUUUCAAACUGGAUAUCUAGAGUGCGGGAGAGGAGAAUGGAAUUCCUAGUGUAGCGGUGAAAUGCGUAGAGAUUAGGAAGAACACCAGUGGCGAAGGCGAUUCUCUGGACCGUAACUGACGCUGAGGCAUGAAAGCNGUGGGUAGCAAACCAGGAUUAGAUACCCUGGUAGUC
rnacentral:rRNA from 1 species